CCUCCCAAAGUGCUGGAAUUACAGGCGUGAGCCAACAUGCCCAGCCUUCGAUGAAUUGUUUUAUUCUUACUACUCUGUAAUCACCUGUCUUUAACUGUUACUGUUGUUUACUUUAAAUGUUAUGUGAUUAUUAGUUAUAAUUCAGUUAAAUAUGACAAAUAUAAACAAGCAAUUGAAUAUAUGCAUGUGGAAGAGCAUCUAUCUUUCACAUAACUAAAAAAUACAUAGGAAAGUUUUUGUGGCACAAAUUGUCCAAGGGAAUAGUGUGAUUCUAUCACCAACAAAUGAUAGGAUAAUAGACAUUAGGCAUAAGUAGCAGUUACUGUGCUCAUUAGUUAGUGGUAGAUUCUACCCAUUUAUUUUCUGUCACUGUGGUUUUCUGCUUUAGGUAUGCCUCUUGAAAGCAGAACAUAGUCGUGUUUUGUUUUCUUAUUUAUUCUCUGUCUUUUGAUAGAUCAAGCAAAUUUAUUUAAAUUCAUGAACAUUUCUGAUAACAUUGAACUUGCUUUUACUGUCUUAUUAAAAUUUUGCUAGUUAUCACUCUCUUUUCACUCUUUUUUUGCUUUGAGAUUAAAGUGAUAAGUUCUUUUUAUUCAUUUCUCCAUCUGUUUUUUUUUUUUUUUUUUUUUUUGAGACGGAGUCUCGCUCUGUCGCCCAGGCUGGAGUGCGAUCUCAGCUCACGGCAAGCUCCGCCUCCUGGGUUCACGCCAU
rnacentral:lncRNA from 10 species